rnacentral:lncRNA from 1 species
UCGAGGACUGUGACAUCUGGAUGUGUUAGCCUAUAUUCCUUCAUAUAAAGCAAAGAAAGAGGUAAGGAGGAAAAUAAUAGUGCUUUCAAAUACAUACUCGGUUGAUUAAACUAAAUAUAGGCUCUACAGAAGCAAACAACAGUUAAACCCCAGGAUGUAAAUAAGGUGAUCGGAGCACACAGUGCAUUCGCCUCUUUAGAUUAUCACAAAAUUAGUACGAGCUACAGUGGAAAUAUAGCAGCAACAAACAAGUCCAAUUGAGUUGUAACUUUCAGUCUAGAAUAAAUCUACCAUUUAACCAAAAGACAAUAAUGACGAAAAUAAGUGUGUUCUCCAAUAUAUGCUCGGUUGAUUAAACUAGAUGGCUCUACAGAAGCAAACAGCAGUUAAACCCCAGGAUGUAAAUAAGGUGAUCGGAGCACAUAGUGCAUUCGCCUUUUUAAACUAUGACAAAACUAGUACGAGUAACAGUGGAAAUAUAGCAGCAACAAACAGUCCGAUUGAGUUGUGACUUUCAGUUCAAGUAAAAUAAAUCUACCAUUUCACCAUAAGAGAAAGAAUAAUGACCAAAAUACGUG